GACGAACGCUGGCGGCGUGCUUAACACAUGCAAGUCGAGCGGUAAGGCCCUUUCGGGGGUACACGAGCGGCGAACGGGUGAGUAACACGUGGGCGACCUGCCCUCAGCUCUGGGAUAAGCCUGGGAAACCGGGUCUAAUACCGGAUAUGACUCCAUGACGCAUGUUGUGGGGUGGAAAGCCUUGUGCGGCUGAGGAUGGGCCCGCGGCCUAUCAGCUUGUUGGUGGGGUGANGGCCUACCAAGGCGACGACGGGUAGCCGGCCUGAGAGGGCGACCGGCCACACUGGGACUGAGACACGGCCCAGACUCCUACGGGAGGCAGCAGUGGGGAAUCUUGCGCAAGUGGGCGAAAGCCUGACGCAGCAACGCCGCGU
rnacentral:rRNA from 1 species